GGCUCGGCUCGCAGACCUUUAUAUAUCAAAAAUUAAAAAUUUUAAGGCAACAAGGUUGCUGAAAAAGGUAGCAGCGUACUGCCAUUAUUCUAAAGCAGUAGGCUGUUAUCUAUAUAUGAAGGAAAAUAAUAAAAAAAAAAAAGUAAAAAAAAAGUGAGCCUGCUCGGCUCAACUCAAGCCCGGAAAGAAGUUGAAACAUUUUACCCAAGUCGAGUUCGAGCCAAAAAUUUCGACUCGCAAGCCGACUCGGCUCGUUUACAUCUCUAGUCAUAGGUUACAAAUUAACUAAAUAGUUGGUCAUAGACUUCUAAAAACUCCAUCCCUCAAUCACAAAUUAUCAAACUUUUAGGUCGCAACUAUAAUUGGUUACAAAUUAACAAAAUAAUUGGUCAUAGACACCUAACACUGCAUACGCAGCGUUUUUCGAAACAAGUAGUUUCUUUUCUCUACCUCUACCAAUAACCUUCCACAACAGCAACCGCAACACCACUGUAACAAAAUUGUGAGUCACCAUAAGCUCACGAGUACCACUAUGAACACAGGAAUCGCCAAAGUCACCACCUCAAAUCCACAUAUAACAGAGACCACAACCACAAUCACAACCACCCACCCAACAAAAAUAACCCCCACUCCACCACCGGCACCAACCGAGCUCCAUGUCAUCUCACCAUCCAACACCAUCCGCAUCAAUUGAACCACCACUGUGACACUGUCGCACCACAACCACAACCACCUACACAAAACACCACCAUCGCCAUCACCAUAUGCAACUACACCAUCACCUCAAAACUCCGGCUAAGCAGUAGACUUGAUCAGAAAACCAACCACCAGUAGAUCGGAUCAGAAAAAUUGCCGACAAACUCCAUCAACGACCCACAAACAUAGUUGCACAUAAAGGAAGAAACCACCAGGUAAAAAUCGCGAUGCCGAUGCUCUCAGUGGCACAACGGCGCUCACUGCACUGUGCUGACGCACGCAGAUGCACAGAGCCAAUUUACCAUAAUUAAUAAGCAGCAAUAGCGACGAUGGAGACGAUAUGUGAAUGAAGCGAUCUGUGGACGGGACGGGGUGCUAGUGGUGGUGCAAGUGGUGAUAAUGUGGCGGUUGAGGUGAUGGUUAGGCGAUGGUGACGAAUUUGAAUAAAGAGAGAGAGAAAAAAUAGAGAAGGAGGAUAAGAGGGGAAUGACGUUUGGGUUUGGAAGUUUGGGCUGGAUGGGGUGGGCGUAGGUAAAAUAAUUUAAUUUUAUAUUAUUAUUUUAGAUAUUUAUAAGGAUUUUUCUCCUUUCCACCCCAUGUCUCAGGCCCUGUGUACUGUGCAAAUAGCACAACCCUAUUUAUAAAUUGAAUUAUUACCUGAUUUUUUGAUUAAAUAAAGCUGAUGCCUGAUUUUUAAAUUGG
rnacentral:lncRNA from 1 species